rnacentral:rRNA from 1 species
UACGUAGGGGGCAAGCGUUGUUCGGAAUUACUGGGCGUAAAGGGCUCGUAGGCGGCCAACUAAGUCAUACGUGAAAUCCCUCGGCUUAACCGGGGAACUGCGUCUGAUACUGGAUGGCUUGAGUUCGGGAGAGGGAUGCGGAAUUCCAGGUGUAGCGGUGAAAUGCGUAGAUAUCGGGAGGAACACCAGUGGCGAAGGCGGCGAUCUGGGCAGAUACUGACGCUGAGGUGCGAAAGCGUGGGGAGCAAACAGG